AAGCCUGGCAAUGGCGGGCGCCCCUCCCCCAGCCUCGCUGCCACCUUGCAGUUUGAUCUCAGAUUGCUGUGCUAACAAUCAGCCAGACUCCUUGGGCGUAGGACCCUCCGAGCCAGGUGUGGGAUAUAAUCUCGUGGUGCGCCAUUUUUUAAGCUGGUCAGAAAAGCGCAGUAUUCAGGUGGGAGUGGCCCGAUUUUCCAGGUGCGUCGGUCACCCGUUUCUUUGACUCGGAAAGGGAACUCCCUGACCCCUUGCGCUUCCCAAGUGAGGCAAUGCCUCUCCCUGCUUCGGCUCGCGCAUGGUGCGCGCACCCACUGACCUGCGCCCACUGUCUGGCACUCCCAAGUGAGAUGAACCCGGUACCUCAGAUGGAAAUGCAGAAAUCACCCGUCUUCUGCAUCGCUCACGCUGGGAGCUGUAGACAGGAGCUGUUCCUAUUCGGCCAUCUUGGCUCCUCUCGAUAAUUGCUUUCAUGUGAACCCUUCAUAAGGUAAAAUCAAAUCCCUAUUAGGAUAAAUGAUUGAGUGUUCCUGUAAAGAAUUGUUCCCCUGGUUCAAGCAACCAGAUUUCAUUCCCAGAUGAUCAAAAAUGGACUUGAUGAAAUGGAAAAGCACUGAUAGAAACAGAAUGCUGUCAUUAUUCCCAGUUCACAGAUGGGGAGGUAAAAACCCAGAGCUUAAUAGCAUGUCCAAGAUCACAUAACUAUUCCACUGCUCAAAAUUACUCCUGAAGGGAUGAGGACACCAGGAUAUGCCACCGGACCACUGAAGGAAUGGUGAUGGUAUGAAGAAAGUAUUUUUAAUGAGCAGAGCCAUUGUUUGCUCUGCUCUGUCCUCACCCCUCAAGAGAAUUUCCCUUAUUAUUAUGAAAACUUUUUAUCUUAAAAGAUAUUACAUGUUAAUGGAACUGUCGUUUAACAAAUGUUUUAUAAGUGUACCAAUCAAGCACAUUGUCGAAAUAAAAGAUAUGAAAUAAGUGAAAAAAA
rnacentral:lncRNA from 1 species